CGCCCAUCUGCGGCCUGCUAGCCGUUGGCUAUCUUAUCGGCUGCUAUCUGAAUAGACAAUCGGAUAAUUUUUAUUUUAUUUUUAUUUAUUUAUUUAUUUUUCUUCUUGGGCCUCUAUAACUAUAUCUAUUGUUUUUAUUUUUGUUGUUGUUGUGUGAUUUGGAUUAAUCCCCUCUACCACACGGAAAUCCACUAAUCUACUGACGGAACGCAAGAGUUGGCUAAUAACAGACCUCCAUUCUAUGCUAGCUUGCUCCUAUGCUAGCUUGCUACUGAUUUAGCUGUCUAAAUCGCCGUGACCCCCAACCAACCUCUCCACUCACUGGACCCUUUUGAUCACUCGACUGAGCAUGCCUCUCCUUAAUGUCAAUAUGCCUUGUCCAUUGCUGUUCUGGUUAGUGUUUAUUGGCUUAUUUCACUGUAGAGCCUCUAGUCCUGCUCAUUAUACCUUAUCCAACCUAUUAGUUCCACCACCCACACAUGCAAUGACAUCUCCUGGUUUCAAUGAUGUUUCUAGAGACAAUAUCUCUCUCUUCAUCACUCAAUACCUAGGUUUACCUCCACUGUAUUCACAUCCUACCUUACCUUUGUCUGUACAUUAUACCUUGAUGCUAUUUUAUCGCCCCCAGAAACCUCCUUUUACUCUCUGUUCCAGACGUUCUAAACGACCAAUUCUUAUUGCUUUUAGCCACACCCUUAUUCUACUCCUACUCUGUUCCUCUGGCGAUGUAGAGGUGAAUCCAGGCCCUGCAGUGCCUAGCUCCACUCCUAUUCCCCAGGCGCUCUCUUUUGACGACUUCUGUAACCGUAAUAGCCUUGGUUUCAUGCAUGUUAACAUUAGAAGCCUCCUCCCUAAGUUUGUUCUAUUCACUGCUUUAGCACACUCUGCCAACCCGGAUGUUCUAGCUGUGUCUGAAUCCUGGCUUAGGAAGACCACCAAAAAUUCAGACAUUUUAAUUCCAAACUACAACAUUUUCAGACAAGAUAGAACUGCCAAAGGGGGCGGUGUUGCAAUCUACUGCAAAGAUAGCCUGCAGAGUUCUGUCCUACUAUCCAGGUCUGUACCCAAACAAUUUGAACUUUUACUUUUAAAAAUCCACCUCUCUAAAAACAAGUCUCUCACCGUUGCCGCCUGCUAUAGACCACCCUCUGCCCCCAGCUGUGCUCUGGACACCAUAUGUGAACUGAUUGCCCCCCAUCUAUCUUCAGAGCUUGUGCUGCUAGGCGACCUAAACUGGAACAUGCUUAACACCCCAGCCAUCCUACAAUCUAAACUUGAUGCCCUCAACCUCACACAAAUUAUCAAUGAACCUACCAGGUACCUCCCCAAAGCCUUAAACACGGGCACCCUCAUAGAUAUCAUCCUAACCAACUUGCCCUCUAAAUACACCUCUGCUGUUUUCAACCAAGAUCUCAGAGAUCACUGCCUCAUUGCCUGCAUCCGUAAUGGGUCAGCGGUCAAACGACCUCCACUCAUCACUGUAAAACGCUCUCUGAAACACUUCAGUGAGCAGGCCUUUCU
rnacentral:lncRNA from 13 species